rnacentral:rRNA from 1 species
AGGACGAACGCUGGCGGCGUGCUUAACACAUGCAAGUCGAACGGAAAGGCCCGCUUGCGGGUACUCGAGUGGCGAACGGGUGAGUAACACGUGGGCAACCUGCCCUCAGCUCUGGGAUAACUCCGGGAAACCGGUGCUAAUACUGGAUAUCGACUUCUGCCUCGCAUGGGGUGUUGUUGAAAGUUUUUCGGCUGGGGAUGGGCCCGCGGCCUAUCAGCUUGUUGGUGGGGUGAUGGCCUACCAAGGCGACGACGGGUAGCCGGCCUGAGAGGGCGACCGGCCACACUGGGACUGAGACACGGCCCAGACUCCUACGGGAGGCAGCAGUGGGGAAUAUUGCGCAAUGGGCGGAAGCCUGACGCAGCGACGCCGCGUGAGGGAUGACGGCCUUCGGGUUGUAAACCGUCUUUCAGCUCUGACGAAGCGAGAGUGACGGUAGGAGCAGAAGAAGCACCGGCCAACUACGUGCCAGCAGCCGC